rnacentral:rRNA from 1 species
GAGUUUGAUCCUGGCUCAGAACGUACGCUGGCGGCACGCCUAACACAUGCAAGUCGAACGCAGUAGCAAUACUGAGUGGCAAACGGGUGAGUAUAAUGUGGGAAUCUGCCUUUUGGUUCGGAAUAACACGAGGAAACUUGUGCUAAUACCGGAUAAGCCCUUACGGGGAAAGUUUUAAUGCCAAAAGAUGAGCCCGCACUUGAUUAGCUAGUUGGUAAGGUAAUGGCUUACCAAGGCAACGAUCAAUAGCUGUUCUUAGAGGAAGACCAGCCACAUUGGGACUGAGACACGGCCCAAACUCCUACGGGAGGCAGCAGUGGGGAAUCUUGCACAAUGGGGGAAACCCUGAUGCAGCGAUGCCGCGUGAGUGAAGAAGGCCCUUGGGUUGUAAAACUCUUUCGUCGGGGAAGAAAAUGACUGUACCCGAAUAAGAAGGUCCGGCUAACUUCGUGCCAGCAGCCGCGGUAAUACGAAGGGACCUAGCGUAGUUCGGAAUUACUGGGCUUAAAGAGUUCGUAGGUGGUUAAAAAAGUUGAUGGUGAAAUCCCAAGGCUCAACCUUGGAACUGCCAUCAAAACUUUUUAGCUAGAGUGUGAUAGAGGAAAGUGGAAUUUCUAGUGUAGAGGUGAAAU